UGGCUUCUUCCCACUCCAUCAGACUUAGUCCAAUGUUACACCAGGUAACAUGACAAACAAGAGCUUGUGAGCCCUGGAGAGCUCCUCCAGAGCAGGAGAGACAUAUAGUCUUCACAAGGAGCCCAGAGCAGAGCCCUCAUGGAAGUGGCCUCAGAUCUUCCAGGAUUUAAGAUGGCCUAGCUAUGGAAUCACCUCAGACUACUUCAGGAGCAGCUAGCAACCUGUGCACGCUGGAUGGCUCUAUCCCUCGGAGGGGUCUUUCAUCUCUGCACUGCUCAGUAUGAGCACGACUGGACAGUUCUCUCACGCUUUUGCUCAGUGUUCACCUUCUGGGUGUUCUUCAUGAUACGGAUCCAUUCUGCUUUUGGAGUCUCCCAGUGGAAAUUCCCCAGAGAACCUUAUUGUCUGAUUUAACUAUGACUUUUAUUGCCUGCAGAACUUUGUUUACUCCUAGAAUACUUGCCAAAUUCAGAUGGGCUGCUUCAGAUGACGGGGUGACUAUGCAUCAUUCUGAGGGCAGGGAGCAAGCUUUUGUGGGACAGAAAUGGCCAGCCUCCUUUGAGGAACUGCCAGAGUCCUCUCUCUUCAGCAUACCAGGCAUUGGAGGGUAGGAGGCUAGUUUUUCUUUAAAGAGGACUCUGAGGAAAGAUUGACUCAUUCAAAACACAUUUUAUAAAUUUCUAGUCCCCUGAAUAAUACCUAGAGGUUUCUCUCCAGGAGAAUGGAUCGCAACACAAGGGCACAGCUCUAAUGGAACUGUGGGGGCAAACCCCCACACACACCUUUUUUCUCCUACCUAGAACCAAGUUAAGAAGAGAUCUUAGAGGAUUCACAGUUACUCAGUGAGUUACUUCCACAUUUCUCCAAAAUCAAGAAUUGUACUUUCAAGCCUUCAAAUUCUUUGUUAAACAUGAGUUUAUGUUAUCCUCCCAACAAGGCAUUAAAGGCUGGGGACAACCUCAAUGAAAUACACAGAAUAAUGAAGGUGUAUUGAUGGUAGACAGUAGGUAGUGAGAUGUUUUCUUCCAAAACUAUCAGAGAAUCGUUGCCUACCAUAAGACAAUUUCAUAUCUGAGAAAAUUACAAUUUAACCCAUGUCCCAUCCUUUAAAGGUGAAUAAUUACAACUAAGUUAUGUCACAUUCUUGAAUGCAAGAGUGAGUUCUUACA